rnacentral:rRNA from 1 species
GCUCUUUUGUAGGGGAAGAUAAUGACUGUACCCUAAGAAUAAGGUCCGGCUAACUUCGUGCCAGCAGCCGCGGUAAUACGAAGGGACCUAGCGUAGUUCGGAAUUACUGGGCGUAAAGCGCGCGUAGGCCGUUGAGUUAGUUAAUUGUGAAAUCCCAAAGCUUAACUUUGGAACUGCAAUUAAAACUGCUCGACUAGAGUUUGAUAGAGGAAAGCGGAAUACAUAGUGUAGAGGUGAAAUUCGUAGAUAUUAUGUAGAACACCAGUUGCGAAGGCGGCUUUCUGGAUCAACACUGACGCUGAGGCGCGAAAGUAUGGGUAGCAAAGAGGAUUAGAUACCCUCGUAGUCCAUACCAU